rnacentral:rRNA from 1 species
UACAACUUUCAACAACGGAUCUCUUGGCUCUCGCAUCGAUGAAGAACGCAGCGAAAUGCGAUAAGUAAUGUGAAUUGCAGAUUUUCAGUGAAUCAUCGAAUCUUUGAACGCACCUUGCGCUCCUUGGUAUUCCGAGGAGCAUGCCUGUUUGAGUGUCAUUAAAUUCUCAACCCCACCGAUUUGCUUCGGGGGGAUUGGACUUGGAGCGUGCUGGCGAAGGUCGGCUCCUCUUUAAAUGCAUCAGUGGAGAGAAACUUGCCCCAGUGUGAUAAUCCUGUUGCGCUGUGGUGGGUGAAAGUCUGCUUCCAACCGUCCCUCCGGGGACAUAUGUCAUCUUAUUUUGACCUCAAAUCAGGUAGGACUACCCGCUGAACUUAAGCAUAUCAAU